rnacentral:rRNA from 1 species
AUUGAACGCUGGCGGCAGGCCUAACACAUGCAAGUCGAACGAGUGGCGGACGGGUGAGUAAUGUCUGGGAAUCUGCCUGAUGGCGGGGGAUAACUACUGGAAACGGUAGCUAAUACCGCAUACCAUCAGAUGUGCCCAUAUGGGAUUAGCUAGUAGGUUGGGUAACGGCUCACCUAGGCGACGAUCCCUAGCUGGUCUGAGAGGAUGAUCAGCCACACUGGAACUGAGACACGGUCCAGACUCCUACGGGAGGCAGCAGUGGGGAAUAUUGCACAAUGGGCGCAAGCCUGAUGCAGCCAUGCCGCGUGUAUGAAGAAGGCCUUCGGGUUGUAAAGUACUUUCAGUCGGGAGGCGUUACCGACAGAAGAAGCACCGGCUAACUCCGUGCCAGCAGCCGCGGUAAUAC